rnacentral:rRNA from 1 species
GCAGCAGGCGCGCAAAUUACCCACUCCCGGCACGGGGAGGUAGUGACGAAAAAUAACGAUACGGGACUCAUCCGAGGCCCCGUAAUCGGAAUGAGUACACUCUAAACCCUUUAACGAGUAUCCAUUGGAGGGCAAGUCUGGUGCCAGCAGCCGCGGUAAUUCCAGCUCCAAUAGCGUAUAUUAAAGUUGUUGCGGUUAAAAAGCUCGUAGUUGGACUUGUGUCCCACUCUGUCGGUUCACCGUUNGUCGGUGUUAACUGGCAUGCCUGUGUGGACGUCCUGCCGGUGGAUGCGGUCGGCCGUGGGCCUCUGGUCUGCGUGUCGGCGGUCCGAUGCAAUCCUACCGCGGUGCUCUUCACCGAGUGUCGAGGUGGGCCGGCACGUUUACUUUGAACAAAUUAGAGUGCUCAAAGCAGGCAGUGGUUCGCCUGAAUAUUGUGUGCAUGGAAUAAUGGAAUAGGACCUCGGUUCUAUUUUGUUGGUUUUCGGAACCUGAGGUAAUGAUUAAUAGGGACAGACGGGGGCAUUCGUAUUGCGACGUUAGAGGUGAAAUUCUUGGAUCGUCGCAAGACGAACCUAAGCGAAAGCAUUUGCCAUGAGUGUUUUCAUUAAUCAAGAACGAAAGUUAGAGGUUCGAAGGCGAUCAGAUACCGCCCUAGUUCUAACCAUAAACGAUGCCAGCUAGCGAUCCGCCGAAGUUCCUCCGAUGACUCGGCGGGCAGCUUCCGGGAAACCAAAGCUUUUGGGUUCCGGGGGAAGUAUGGUUGCAAAGCUGAAACUUAAAGGAAUUGACGGAAGGGCACCACCAGGAGUGGAGCCUGCGGCUUAAUUUGACUCAACACGGGAAACCUCACCAGGCCCGGACACCGGAAGGAUUGACAGAUUGAUAGCUCUUUCUUGAUUCGGUGGGUGGUGGUGCAUGG